GAUGAACGCUGGCGGCGUGCUUAACACAUGCAAGUCGAACGGAAAGGCUCCUGCUUGCAGGGGUACUCGAGUGGCGAACGGGUGAGUAACACGUGGGUGAUCUGCCCUGCACUUCGGGAUAAGCCUGGGAAACUGGGUCUAAUACCGGAUAGGACGAUGGUUUGGAUGCCAUUGUGGAAAGUUUUUUCGGUGUGGGAUGAGCUCGCGGCCUAUCAGCUUGUUGGUGGGGUAAUGGCCUACCAAGGCGUCGACGGGUAGCCGGCCUGAGAGGGUGUACGGCCACAUUGGGACUGAGAUACGGCCCAGUCUCCUACGGGAGGCAGCAGUGGGGAAUAUUGCACAAUGGGCGCAAGCCUGAUGCAGCGACGCCGCGUGGGGGAUGACGGCCUUCGGGUUGUAAACUCCUUUCGCUAGGGACGAAGCGCAAGUGACGGUACCUGGAGAAGAAGCACCGGCUAACUACGUG
rnacentral:rRNA from 1 species